rnacentral:lncRNA from 1 species
GGAUGCUCAUAAUACAAGCCCUGUCCUAAAACUAAGCCCUAGUUAAUUGUAACCCUGCCCUCCACUAUUGUGCAGCAUUGUGCAGCAACCAGAAGAUGAUAUGACUGUAAAAUAAAACAUCUCCUGAAAAUAAGCCCUAAUGCAUUUUUUGGAGCAAAACUGUUUUAUUUUCAGGGAAACAUAGUAGAAAUUUCCUUCUUAGGAAAUGAGGGUUUGGGGUUUUGUUUUUAUCAAAGUGGGACCAAGGUUCUUUUAGAGUGGUUAGUAAGGCUUAAGGUACCAGUGACUGAGAACGGUGGGUGUAUAGGACCUGUAUUAGGAAAAUGGGAAAUUGCCAAUUCUUCUUCUAUUUCCCUGCCCUCUACCAGGGACUGAGGAACAAUGUUGUGAAGAAACCACCUAACACUGCUCUGAAAUCACCUAUUCCUUCUUUUAUAGAACAAUCCUACGGAGGUCAGGUGGUAGUAAUGGGAAUCCAUAGUGAAGCUUUCUGGAAUGAAGAGGCCUCCAGUCUUUCUCUGCCUGUGGAUAUCGCUCUCCCUAGGUGGCAAGGAAGCUCCAUAUUCUCCAACAGCCCCUCAGUGAUCUUCUCCAGGAAUUCAGGAAUGCUCCCUUUGGAAAGUAGCUGGUUUUGAAAAGAUCAGUCUUCGAAAUGUGCACAAUUGUGAGCUGAAGCAUAUAUUAUAAGUAACUUGUCACUAGAAUAGUGAAUUCCUUGAGGACUAAUUGCAUGUGAUUGUCACAGCAGAAGAUUUUCUCACCUCCUGUAAUUUGAAGAUACGGUAAUUUUGUACUGGCUGAAGUUCUAUUGCUAAUUAUAGCAUGUUGCAUUUAGAACAGGCCCAUUGAGUCAGUGGGGACUUUUUGAGUCAACUCCUCUAGAAAUUCCAUGGAUUCAAAUGGGUCUAUUUUAGAUGUGACUUACCACUUUAAGCAACAAGAUUUCAGCCACUGUUUUGUUAGUGGUCUUCUGGCCAUAAGCAGAUUUUUCCUUUAUAGGUUUGAUUUCUCAGAAGCAAAAUAAUCCUUCCAUCACGUCUCUUGAACAUUAACCUGAUUUGAGCUCUAAUGGCAGAUUAUCUGUAAUGUAUAGUUUGACCUUAAGACUAUAACUGCCUCUGAGGUUGAAAACAAAUUUAUCCAAUCAAUAAUUGUUUACUGUCAUGGAGACCAUCUGCUACAAUCUUGUUACAAUAAUUGAGGUAAUGUUUACCAAUAGUGUACCUGGUUUUGUGUUAAACAUCCUACAAACGACUCUACUGCUGAUAGCAACAACUAUUUUAAUAUUAGGAGCAAACACAAGAUUUUGUGUCUGUAUGUGCACACACGUGUAUGUUUUGACAUGAACAUUGUUUUUUUCCAGAUUGUCUGUUCGUAUGGUGGCCUCUAUUUAUUUA